CUGCAGUCGAAAGCGCUGAGCUGGAUGACGUCAUUUUUAUCUACGUCAUCGCACGUGUUAUGACGACAGAGCAGAAACAUCUUUCCGAGGCGCAUUAUAGACUCUACAUAAGUUAAACCUAAACGAACCGAAACAUCGGACAGUAUUGACUACAGUACAGUUUGAAUUACAAGACAGAAAAAAAGCAACAAAUUUCAGACGUCCAACAUUCUUCCUGCUCACAUGCUUACAUCUUGUGGCGUCAGAUAAAUAGCCAGUAGCCAAGUAUUGAUGUAGCCGUAGUGGAAUAACUGGGAAACUCUUAAUUUUAUCUUUGAAGAAACUUAAAUGACAGUAUUGACUGGAGUUUGAAUUACUCAAAGGGAAAAAGACAAAACAGUCCAAAAAAAAAAAAAACAGUCGUCCAUCUUUCAUCCGGCAUAUAUCCAUAGGUGUUGGAUAAAAAGCGAAGUUAUGGAGCUGAAAUGGAGUACUUGGGGAAAUUAUCUUUGAAGGAAAAGUUACCAAGAACCAGGCGCAACAGGAUUGUUCAAGGAUACAGAAAAUUACUUACUGUAUUACUACCACCACUUAGAUGAUUGCCGACAUCUGUCAAAAAAUGAAACAUUUCAGGAGCUCUAAAGAAUUGUGAAUUUAACUUAAUCAUAAUGCAUCUGAAUGGACAUAUAUUUGAUAUUUGUUCAGUGGUAUUCAGAUGCAGACGAUGGUGCAAAAUACUGUGAUUGUAAUGCUAAGAACUGCUUCAUGAGUAGUUGAUUCAUGAGAUUAUUCCGAAUACAUUUACAGACAUAUGUCAUUUAGUGCAAACAUUUUGUAGUGAGUUACACAGGAUUAUGUCUUCCAUGAUUUAUUUGCAUUAAUAUGCAGAAGAAAAAAACAGUGAUCAUAAGAUGCAUAGUUUUAUUCAAAAUCAGAGACAUUUUCUUACUGUCACCAAGUUGUUACACUUGAAAUUAUUUUCACGUUAUUUUUUUUGAAAGCAUCGUUUAUAGACAUAUCUUUGGUACUUUAAAAGACAAUGACUUGAAAUUAAAAAUAUUUCUUUAUAAUGAUCAUCUGCGUGUGUGGUUACAAUCACAAUAAUUCUAAUUGUAUUUCUUGGCAGAGUUAUGCCCCUUUCAUACUUAAAAUCAAAAUUAAAAAUAAAGAAUGUCAGUA
rnacentral:lncRNA from 1 species